rnacentral:rRNA from 1 species
AGACCCGAAACCCGGUGAUCUAGCCAUGGGCAGGUUGAAGGUUGGGUAACACUAACUGGAGGACCGAACCGACUAAUGUUGAAAAAUUAGCGGAUGACCUGUGGCUGGGGGUGAAAGGCCAAUCAAACCGGGAGAUAGCUGGUUCUCCCCGAAAGCUAUUUAGGUAGCGCCUCGUGAAUUCAUCUCCGGGGGUAGAGCACUGUUUCGGCUAGGGGGCCAUCCCGGCUUACCAACCCGAUGCAAACUGCGAAUACCGGAGAAUGUUAUCACGGGAGACACACGGCGGGUGCUAACGUCCGUCGUGAAGAGGGAAACAACCCAGACCGCCAGCUAAGGUCCCAAAGUCAUGGUUAAGUGGGAAACGAUGUGGGAAGGCCCAGACAGCCAGGAUGUUGGCUUAGAAGCAGCCAUCAUUUAAAGAAAGCGUAAUAGCUCACUGGUCGAGUCGGCCUGCGCGGAAGAUGUAACGGGGCUAAACCAUGCACCGAAGCUGCGGCAGCGAACGUAUCACUUAAAGCGAUUCAGCGGGUUACGAUUGACGGAGCGAAGCGACGUCAAAGCGUAUACAAAGUCGAGUCGGUUUAAGGAUACGUUCGUUGGGUAGGGGAGCGUUCUGUAAGCCUGUGAAGGUGGCCUGUGAGGGUUGCUGGAGGUAUCAGAAGUGCGAAUGCUGACAUAAGUAACGAUAAAGCGGGUGAAAAGCCC